rnacentral:rRNA from 1 species
CAAUAGCGUAUAUUUAAGUUGUUGCAGUUAAAAAGCUCGUAGUUGGAUUUCGGUUGAGAACGGCCGGUCCGCCGUUUGGUGUGCACUGGCUGGUUUCAACUUCCUGUAGAGGACGCGCUCUGGCUUCACGGCUGGACGCGGAGUUUACGUGGUUACUUUGAAAAAAUUAGAGUGUUCAAAGCGGGCUUACGCUUGAAUAUUUCAGCAUGGAAUAACACUAUAGGACUCCUGUCCUAUUUCGUUGGUCUCGGGACGGGAGUAAUGAUUAAGAGGAACAGUUGGGGGCAUUCGUAUUUCAUUGUCAGAGGUGAAAUUCUUGGAUUUAUGAAAGACGAACUUCUGCGAAAGCAUUUGCCAAGGAUGUUUUCAUUAA